rnacentral:rRNA from 1 species
UGCUCUUCGACGUUAGCGGCGGACGGGUGAGUACACGUGGGCACCUACCUUAUAGUUGGAUACUCCGGGAACCGGGGCUAAUACCGAAUAAUCUAUUUUACUUCGUGGUGAAAUACUGAAAGACGGUUUCGGCUGUCGCUAUAGAUGGGCCCGCGGCGCAUUAGCUAGUUGGUGAGGUAACGGCUCACCAAGGCGACGAUGCGUAACCGACCUGAGAGGGUGAUCGGCCACACUGGGACUGAGACACGGCCCAGACUCCUACGGGAGGCAGCAGUAGGGAAUCUUCCACAAUGGGCGAAAGCCUGAUGGAGCAACGCCGCGUGAGUGAAGAAGGUUUUCGGAUCGUAAACUCUGUUGUAAGGGAAGAACAAGUACAGUAGUAACUGGCUGUACCUUGACGGUACCUUAUUAGAAAGCCACGGCUAACUACGUGCCAGCAGCCGCGGUAAUACGUAGGUGGCAAGCGUUGUCCGGAAUUAUUGGGCGUAAAGCGCGCGCAGGCGGUCCUUUAAGUCUGAUGUGAAAGCCCACGGCUCAACCGUGGAGGGUCAUUGGAAACUGGGGGACUUGAGUGCAGAAGAGGAAAGUGGAAUUCCAAGUGUAGCGGUGAAAUGCGGUAGAGAUUUGGAGGAACACCAGUGGCGAAGGCGACUUUCUGGUCUGUAACUGACGCUGAGGCGCGAAAGCGUGGGGAGCAACCAGGUUAAGAUACCCGGUUAGUCCCACGCGGUAAACGAUGAUGUGUAAAGUGUUAGGGGGUUUCCGCCCCUUAAGUGCUGCAGCUAACGCAUAAGCCAUUCCCCCUGGGGGAGUACGGUGGCAAGACUGAAAUUCAAAGAAAUUGACGGGGGCCCGCCCAAGCGGGGGACCAUGUGGUUUAUUUGGAAGCAACGGGAAGACCCUUCCCAGUUCUUGACAUCCCGUUGACCACGGUAGAGAUAGGUUUUUCCCUUGGGGGCCAACGUGACCAGUGGUGCCAUGGUGGUGUUCAGCUGUUGUGUGGAGAUGUUGGGUUAAGUCCCCCAAGAAGCCAACCCCUUGUUUUUAGUUCCCUCCAUUAAGUUGGCCAUUUAAAGGGGCUGCCGGGGACCAACCGGGAGAAGGGGGGGGAGGCGUUCAAUCCUUCAUCCCCUUUUGGCCUGGGGCUACCCCCGGCUUCAAAUGGAGGAUCCAACCGGUUCCCACCUCGGGAGAGGGACUUAAUCCAUAAAAUUCGUUUCCAGUUCGAUUUUAGGUCCAACUGCCUCACAGAACCGGGAACCCUAGUAUUCGGGUUAGGCUCCGCGUAUUACGUUCCGGGCCCUGCCACCCCCGGCACCCCGGGGAUUUGUACCCCAGAGUGGGGGGGACC